GGAGGAGGCCCGGCCCCGCGGCCGCCGCCGCCCGGACCGCCGGGACCGCCAGGACCGCUGCAGGGCGCCGGCCCUAGACGGUGGUCCGCGCCCCGGAUUCUCCUCGGCUCGGCCGCGCGUAUAUUUCCCUUCCUCCAUGAUCUCCAGCACUGAUAAAGUAGAAGAAACUGAGGUACCAGGAAAGAGAAAAGUAACUGGGACUGAGAGAUAAGGUCUCCCUGAGUUGCUUCGGGCUCACUAAUUUGCUAAGGCCGGCUUUGAACUUGUGAUCCUCCUGCCUCAGCCUCCCAAGGUGAAGAUUACAAGCCUGCAUCACAAUACCAACCCAGCUGAUGAACUUUUCUUUAACUUAAAUAAAUUUUUUAAAAGUAAAUUUUAGGGCUGGGGCUGUAGCUCACUGGUAAAGCACUUGCCAGGCAUGUGUGAGGCACUGGGUUUGAUCCUCAGCACCACAUAAAAAUAAAUAAAUAUUAUGUAUCUAUCUACAAUUAAAAAAAAAAGUAAAUUUUAUAUUAAUGGAAAUAAUAUCCAUAAAUCUUUGAUUAGAUUUGGUAAUUAUAGCUUCCUGAUUUAUUUUAAAUUACAACUAAUUAUUAAAAUAAAAUCAAUAAAAAUUAAAGUGGGGCUGGGGUUGUAGCUCUGUGGUAAAGCACUUGCCUUACAUGUGUGAGGCACUGGGUUUGAUUCUCAGCACCACAUAUAAAUAAAUAAAAUAAAGGUCCAUGGACAACUAAAAAAAAAAAUUAAAGUGUCUUCCAUGCUACUAAUGGUACCCAUACCACAUUUUUAGGUUCAGAAACUGGAGCUUAGAUAUUGAUAGGAUUGCCUAAGAUCAAUUAUUAUUAGUUAAGGACAGAACCAGGACUUGAAUCUAUCAAUUGCUAUUCUAGUGUACUUUGUAUUAUAUACUAUAUGACUUCUGAGUCAAUAGGAUGUCCUAUGGUUUUAAAGGAAACCAAAAUUGAAGGUCACAUUGUAUUACUAUUAUUAACUUAUAACAGUUAUACCACAGAAUUGGCAAAGGUCAAUUUAAUUGUAUUUAUUAUACUUUUUUUUUUUUUCAGUAGUGGGAUUGAAUACAGGAGUACUCUACCACUAAGCUACACCCACAAAUCUUUUAAAAUUUUUUUCAUUUUGAGGCAGGGUCUGACUAAGGUGCUGAGGUUGUCCACAAAUUUGGGAUCCUCCUGCCUUAGACUCCCACAGAGCUGGGAUUAGAGGUAUGCACCACCAUGUACAGUUUAUACUUACAAACUUUUUUUUGACACAGGAUUCCACAACUACUACUACUACUACUACUACUACUAUUACUACUACUACUUCUUCUUCGUCGUCUUUUUUUUUUUUUGGUAGUUGUAGAUGGAUAGCCCUUUAUUUAUUUUUAUGUGGUGCUGAGGAUCAAACUCAAUGCCUCACGCAUGCCAGGCAAGCGCUCUGCCACUGAGCUCCAGCUCCAGCCCACAAUUCGACUUCUUACCAUCUAUUCUCUUCUCUUUUUGAGGUUCUGGGGAUUGCACCCAGGACCUAGCACAUGCAAGGUAAAUGUUCUGCCACUGAGCUAUAUCCCUAGCUCUUUUAGAAUUUUGAGACAGAGUCUCACAAAGUUGCCCAGGGUGGGCCUCCUGCCUCAGCUUCCCAAGUUGCUGGGAUUAUAGGUAUAUGCUACCACAUCCUCCUUAGCACCUACUUUUGGGAAAUAGUAGAUGUUUCUCAUCACACUUGUACAUAAAAUGACAUGUGCAAAGAUGUUCAUUAUAACAGUGUGUAGCAAAAACUUCUGAACACCCUAAAAUCUCCAAUAGUAAGGAAUAGCUAAGCAAACUACACAACAAUCAUGAAAAGUGAGUUACAUCUGUAUAUAUAAAUAGGGUCAGAUUCUUCAAUAUACAGUUGCAUGGAAAAAAACAGGCUACAAAACAGUAUUUACAUUAUGAUACUUGUUAAUUUAUUUGUGUUUUAAAAAAAUUAAAAACAAUUUUAAAUAUUUCUAGAGAUAUAUUUUUAUUUAUAAAAUUGCCUUUUAAAAUUCUGAAGGUACACAUAUCAAAGAUUUUUAAUUUGUUAAUUCUGAAUUUUUACAAUGAGAAAGUUUAAUUUGUGUAAACACAUUUAAUUGAUCACAUUAGCAAAUGGAGCUAAAUGAGAUAAAAAGUAGUCUGAUUUCUCUAAAGAAAUCACUCCUUAUUAAUCUCUGGUCCUUUGAAGAGAAAAACAUGUAAGCAAAGUAUAAUCAGUGGAUAUACUGAUAUGCUUUUGAAAACAUUAGAGAAGUUCCACUUUAAAGACUAAUUAAAGUAUGAGGAGGAAAAGGAAAGAUAUAGAAAAAUAUAUAUAUAUUUAUAAACAUGAUGCCAUUUGUGAAAGAAAAAAUAUGUGAAUAUCCACAGGGUGUACUUAGAAGAAUAUACAAGAAACUAUAGUAGUUGCUAUUGGGAAGGUAAAUUUAUUUUUUUAUCUUUUCAAGCAACUUGAAAAUGUUGUCAAGCAACUUUUUAAGUGACCAAGAGAUUGGCUAGGUAGAGGGAGGAGAUCAGACAUAAACACAAAAAAAGCUAAAUAUGAAUAUGUGAUUUUGAUUAUUGCUAUGGGCUGUAAAAUCUAAGUGUUUGGAGAAGAAAUCUUGCAUGGGGGUGGUGGGGUGGAGAGUAGAGGGAGUCAGUGAAGAACUUUCAUAUGUAAUUGUGUUUGUGUUUGAAAUUGGCCCCAAAAGAUAACUAGGAUCUAUAUAGCAGACAGGAAAAGCAAGGGCAGUCUAGGUUGAAUAAGAAAGCAUUUAGCAGGUGGCAUUGGAAGUCAUCUGACUGGAGUGGUAAUUUCAUAAUAGAAAAUUAUAGUAGAGUAAGAAUGUUGGAAUAUAAAGUGAAGAGUAGAGGCCAGAACCUUGGGGGAACUUUGAAAGACGGAGGCAAGGAGGAGAAGAGAAACAAACCAAAGAAAAACAAAUUGAGAUGUACCAGAUAUUGUUACUAUGGAAGAAUAGAAACACAGCUUCCAAAAGAAAGACAGGAUACUUGCUGCCAGAUGCUACGUGGAAGUCAAGAACAAUACAAACUGACUGUUCCUCAAAAAUUUAAAUAUUGGCCAAGUAUAGUGACACAUGCCUAUAAUCCCAGCUACUUGGGAGACUGAGGCAGGAAAAUCUUAAGUUCCAGGACUCAGUGGCCCAGCAACUUAGUGAGAUACUAUCUCAAAAUAAAAAAAUAAAAAAGACUGGGGUUGUAGCUCAAUGGUAAAGCACCUCUGGAUUCAAUCCCAAGUACCACAGGGAGAAAAACAAAGUUACCAAAUAUAGUCUGGCACAGUGGUACACACCUGUAAUCCUAGCAACUGGAGCGGCUCAGGCAUGAGGAUCCCAAAUUUGCAUCAGCAUGGGCAAUUUAGCGAAACCCUGACUCAAAAUUUAAAAACAAAAAGGGGUUGGGGUUUUUUUUUAGCUCAGUGGUAGAGCACUUACCUAGCAUGCACAAGGCCCUGACUUCAAUCCCCAAUACUGGCUGGCUGGAUAAAUAAAUAAUCCAAAUACAUAUAUAUAUAUAAAAAAUAUAUCACACACACACACACAUACAUACAUACAUAUAUACACACACACCAGAAGAAGGAAGAGAGUAUGAAUAGGAGACAGUGGUCACGAAGUUUGGUAGUCCCAAAUAGAUAUUUUAAAGUAAUAUAUAAAAUAGACCUGGAAUCAUCACAUCACAUACCUGAGUGAAUCUAAUUCUUUAUCUCCAGGGUUAUUUCCACAUUCCCCCAUCUUGUAUAAAAAGCUUAUAUUCCUUGAAGGCUCCUGCAGUCUAGCUGUAUAUUCCUUAAUCUCUCUCCUACACUGUCAACCACUUAACCUCCUGACCAUUCCUCUCAUUCACGGAAGAUACUGGCUUAGUUCUGCCAUCAUCAUGGGUCACCUUAGGAUCCAUAUGAAAGAUCCUUUUAUCACCCUCUCAGUUCCUCGAAACCCUGAUUUCCAGAGACCUUAUUCUCCAUCCUACUUUUGCAUCCCCAGCCUUUGUACCUACCUCUUUUGUAAUAUUAAAUUCAAGCCUCCGUUUUGGCUACAACUUUGUAUUUUUCUAGCUCUCUCGUUUACUUAUAUCUUACUAUUCCUGGACCCCCAUGAGACAUUCUAUCUACCUAACUCUUAAUUUUCUCCUAAUUAUUUCUCCUCCAUUCUGUCUUCACCUCCUUUCCUGACCAGUUUAUUUUUUAAAGUAUUUAUUUUUUUGUUGUAGUUGGACACAAUACCUUUAUUUUACUUAUUUAUUUUUAUAUGGUACUGAGGAUCGAACCCAGGGCCUCACAACGUGCUAGGCAAGCGCUCUUGUCCAGUUUAAAUUCCAUGGUCUUUCAUUUCAACAACUCUCCUGCCAGUGCUGGUGCCCAUUUCUCAUUUUCUUUCUUGGAAACCCCUUGCCUUGGUGCACUUCAAAGUGCUGUGGAAGAAAAUACCAUAACCAUUCUGACUAGUAUCCCUGCUCAGAAAACCUUAUUCCAAAUCAUUUUCCUUUUUGAGUCAGUUCUCCACAGUGACUUAUUCAAAUUCCUCAGGCUUCUUCCUUAUACUCAUUUGAUCUUAGUCAAAAGGCUAUGUUUUAGUCAGCUUUUUUUCACUGCUGUGACCAAAAGACUUGAAGAAAAGUUUAUUUAGGGGGCUCACAGUUUCAGAGUCUCACUCCAUGAUAGCCAACUCCAUUGCUCUGGGCCCAAGAUGACUUAGAACAUCAAGGUAGAAGAUUGUAACAGAGGAAAGCAUAUCUGAACAAGACCCCCAAGAAGCACAGAGAGAGUUCCACUCUCCAGGGGCAAAUAUAUAUUCAAAGGCACCCUCCCAAAGACCCAUCUCCUCCACCCUGCCUAUAGUUACCACCCAAUUAAUCCCUAUCAGGGGAUCAAUAUACUGAUUAGAUAAUGUUCUCAUAACCCAAUAAUUUCAACUCUGAACUUUCUUGCAUUGUUUCACACAUGAGCUUUUGGGGGAUACCUAAUAUCUAAACUAUAACAGGCUGAGAAAUGAUCUCUUCCUUACACUCAAAUUAGGAAGUCUUAUCUACUUCCAGGAAAUAGGAGGAAAGAAUGAGAGCAAGAGCACAAGUGAAGGGAUUAACUUCAGACAGGUCAGAAGGGAAGAAGGAAAGGACAAACAUGCAUAUUGUUAAAUAUGUAGGUUUAACAUCAGUAUUUUGAAGGAGUUCUCUUCUGAUUAAACAGCUAUAUUAAAAACAAAAAUUUAAAAGAACUAGAAUGUGACAUAAGAAAAUAUUUUCCUGGAGGUAAAAAUGUCUUAAACUUGGGGCUGGAGUUGUAGCUCUGGAGUAGAGUGCUUGCCUUGUAUGUGUGAGGCACGAGUUCGAUUCCCAGCACCACAUCUAAAUAAGCAAAUAAAAUAAAGGUCCAUCAACAACGAAAAAAAAAAAAAAUUUAAGUCUUAAGCUACAUGAGUAACAGCCAUAAAGUAAAAUACUUACAGAUUUACUCAAUAAAAUUAGCUGGGUGUGGUGAUACAUACCUGUAAUAUCAGCGGCUAGGGAGGCUGAGGCAGGAGGAUCAUGAGUUCAAAGCCAGCCUCAGCAAUGGUGAGGUGCUAAGCAACUCAAUGAGAUCCUGUCUCUAAAUAGAAUAUAAAAUAGGGCUGUGGAUGUGGCUUAGUGGUUGAGUGCCCCUAGUUCAAUCCCCAGUACAAAUAAAUAAAUAAAUAAUUUUACUCUAUACAAAACAUCACAAACAAGGUUAAAAGAAAAACCAGGAAAAUAUUUAUACUAUUUAUGACAAACUGCUCAUUCAGUAAAUAGUGUGUGCUUUAGAGAACUUGGAGGUAACAGAAGCAAUUUUAGUUCCUUUAAGCAAAAAGGGAUUUUAUGCAGGAAGUUAACUUACAAAAUUGUUGGAUAGGCCAGAGAAGCACUGUAGUCUGGGCUUCCAGAGUGAACAGAACAUUGCAAAACUGACCCACCAGAAAUCUACUUCCUGUCUGUGCCACCACACUAGCUUUAGUGUUUGUUUUCUUGUUGAAAUAAAGACAUCAGAUAAAUCAAAAUAUAAAGUAAAUAAUUUAUGUGUAAAAAAUGGAUGAUGAUUGCUAUUUGGGGGAUAGGUACUGGGGAUUGAACCCAGGGGCACUCAACCACGGAGCCACAUCCCCAGCCCUUUUUUGUAUUUUAAUUAGAAACAGGGGCUCCCUGAGUUGCUUAGGGCCUUGCUAAAUUGCUGAGGCUGCCUUUGAACUUGUGAUCCUCCUGCCUCGGCCUCCUGAGCUGAUGGGAUUAUAGGCAUGUGCCACCACACCCAGGUAUGAUUGCUGAUUUUUAUGAAGUUUUACUUUGUAAGUGAAAUACCCUAAGUAAGUACUUAAUAUGUACUAACUCACUUAUUCCUUCCAAUAACCUUAUAAAAUAGAAAUUAUCAAUCUCCAUUUUGCAGAUGAGGAAGCAGAGGUAAAAGAAGAUUAAAUAAACUGGAUUCAGUGGUACACAUCUGUAAUCCCAGCUACUCAGGAUGUGAAGGCAGGAUUAUCACAAAUUCUAGACCAGUUUGGGCAAUUUAGAGAGACUCUGUCUCAAAACUAAAGAGGGCUGGGGAUGUAGCUCAUUGUAAAGUGGUAAAGUGCCCCUGGGUUUAAUUUCCAGUGGCCUCUUCCCCAUCCUCAGAAAAAAAAAGGAGAUUAAACAUCUUAUCUAAGACCAGAGCUACUAAGAGGUAAAACAGGCAUUUAUAUACCCAAAUUCAUGGACCAGAGUAAACCUGAAGAAAAGGUGAAAAUGCAGAUGAUAUGAUAACUCAAGGAUUGAAAUGCUAUUGUUAAAAUCACAGGAAUUGAGAUAGAAGUUGGCUUUAAGGGGGUAUAAUGUAUUUGUUUCUCGAAGUCCUUAGCUUGAUAUGUGAUGGGUUUUUUGUUUGUUUGUUUUUGAUAGCAGGGAUUAAACCCAGGAUGCUCUACCACUGAGCUACACACCCAACCUUUUUUUAUUUUUUAUUCUGAGAUGGGGUCUGUCUAAGUUCUGGUUCUCCUGCUGUAGCCUCACAAGUCACUGUAAUUAUAAGCAUGCUGCUUAACAUUGCCUUUUAACAACUUCUUGAUGUAGGUUGAGUUCACAUCCCUAAUCCAAAAUCUGAAAUGCUUCAAGAUCCAAGAGCACCAACAUAGUGUCCACAGUGAAAGGUUCCUCUUAUGACGGGUCACAGUCAAAAUGCAGGCACAUUAAAAAUAUUUUAUCAAAUUACCUUCUGGCUAUGUGUAUAAUGUAUAUAUGAAACAUAAAUGAAUUUCAUGUUUAGAAUUGGAUCCCAUACCCACAAUGUUUCACUAGUAUAUUCAAGUAUUCCAAAACCUGAAAAAAUUCAAUAUCUCAAAUGUUUGUUUCAAGCAUUUGGGAUAAGGAUAGCCUAGGUUUCCCAAUAGCUGGCCAGUUUGAAAUGUCUUGCUCUUUCCAUCUAUUGUCAAGCCAUAGUAGUCCCAGUAAUAUUGCCCUGACACUUUUCCCACUGAUUACUCUUCAGAUUAUAGAUGUGUUAUAGUGCUAACCUCAGCUGUCAUCCUCUUGCCCCUCCAUUUGCUCUUGGCCCUUUGCUACUAUCUAACUUUCUGUGUAAGGAAUUAUAUUAAUUUCAGACUAAAUUUGAUAUAAUUCCCAAGUUAAAACCAACUAAUUUUUUUUAAAAGAUUCUAUGUCCCCAAACUAUUUAACUUCUGAAAUAUGUUCCAGAGCCAAUAAUGAAGCUACCUAAUCUGUCCAUAAGAGGAAGAGUUGGAGCUAUACAGUCAGAGAGAUAACCAAGCUCUAUACUUACUAACUUUCACCCUGGGAAAGUUGUUUAUCCCUUAGGUGUCAGUAUCCUCAUCUGUAAACCAGCCAUCCUCACAAGGUUGUAGCAAGAAUUAAAUGAGCUAACUUACAUAAGGCACUAGGUAUAAUAAGGCACUCGAUAAUUGGUAGCUAUUAUUCUAAACAAUCAAAUUUACCAUUUAGCCAUUUCUCACUUCAGAAUGAUUCACUUAAGAUAACUGCAAAUUGAGAGGACUCACAACCUGGAUUAUAUAGCACCUUAAACUGAAGGAGCAAAGAGGCUGACUUUAGUUACUCUUGUUUCUUAUAGUUAGCCCUGUUUCCUUGCUUUCCCUCACUUGGUAUGACAUAAAACUGCAUUUUACUUGACUCAAAUUUUCUCACAGAAAUUCUAACUGAAAUCUUAGUCACAAAUAUGGUCUACUAAUUUUUUGAUUAUGACAGAUGGACCUGAAUGCUGAAUGUUACCAAAUCUCAGGAAUUUCCAAGGGAAGUAUUUGUUACUAAAUAGUGAUUAACACAAGGAAUGGGAAAGAAAACUAAAACUGGUUAGUGGUAGUGUCUUUUCCAAGGAUGUUUAUAGUGCUAGGAAUUUUACCAUACUUUAUCUCAUUUAAUCUUUUCAACAACAUUAUAAGAAACUUUCAUUUAGGGUGAACAUGUCCAGGGUUAUGUCUAUUGUCCUUACUGUUACCUUCUAUCAUCCCUAUUUUAUGAUUGAAGAAAUGGAAUCUAAUGAAAGGUUGGUAUUCUGUACAUGUUACAAAACUCUCUUCUGCAGUUGGGUUUUUAGAUUCUCAUAUCCCAUGUGUAUAGCCUAACAAAACCACCAAUGAUCUGCUAUUUGCUAAAUCCAGAUACUCCCGUCAUCAUAUUACUAUUUAGCCUCUGUGCAGUAUUUCACACUUUCCGUCCUCUCAAGUAUUCUCCCUUUAAUUUGCAUGGCAUCCUUUUCCAGUUUCCCUGUCACUCUCCAGCUCUUCCCUGUGAGUCCCCUUUUCCUCCUCCCCUCCCUUAGAUAUUGUUUCUCCUAGGUCCUCUGCUUAGAUCAGAAUUCACUUUUUUUUUUCCCCCGUAACAAGAUAUUGAACCCAGGAUCACUUAACCACUGGGCCACAACCCCAGCCCUUUUGUUUUUGAUAUAGGAUCUUGCUUAGUACUUAGGCCCUUGCUAAGUUGCUGAGACUGAUCUUAAACUUUCGAUCCUCCUGCCUCAGCCUCCUGAAUCACUAGAAUUACAGGCGUGCACUAUGGCACCUGACCCAGACUGCAUUCUUGAGAUGAUCUCGUCCUGUCUUUGGCUAUUAUAACUAUCUGCUAACAAUUCCCAUACCUGUAACUCUGACCCAGAGCUUUCCAGUCCCAGGGUUUGGACAUGUGUACUUUCAUGUCCCAGAAUAUAAGGAUAUAGCCAGCUAAAAUUUCAUUUUUUCAUCUUCCAGCAUUCUCCUUUUCUAUCACUGGACUCACCAUCCUCUCAGCUGCCCAUACACCUGGUGUCAUUCUUGGGUCUUCCCUCUCUCUCAGACUUCUACCCAAUAAAUUACCCAGUAACUUUCGUCCAUCUUCUCUGACCACUACCACUAACCUAGUUCCAGUUGCCUUCAUUUGUCCCCAGACUACUGAAAGGGCAUCAGGCCACCCUGUCUCUACUUUUUCCUCUCCAUUCCAUCCCUUCUUGGCAAUGUAGUUAAGUCACUUUUUUUUUUUUUUUUUUUUUUUGGCGGGGGGAGGUGGUACUGGCAGUUCAACUCAUGGGCACUGAUCCACUGAGCUAAAACCCAAACCCUUUUUAAAUUUUAUUUAUUUAUUUAUUUUCGAGACAGGAUCUCACUAAAUUGCUAAGGCUGGCUUCAAACCUGUGAUCCUCCUGCCUCUGCCUCCUGAGCUACUAGAAUUCCAGGUGUAUGCCACCAUGCCUGGCUUCAAGCCACCUUUUUAAAAGGCAAAUCUGAUUAUGUCCUCCCUACAAAAUCCUUAAGCCUGAUUGAAUAUUUUUAAGUAUUUAUUUAUGUAUUUAUUUUGUGGUGCUGGAAAUGGAACUCAAGUUCUCAUGCAAGCUAGGGAAGUACUUCAGUUGUAUCCUUUAAAAGGAUGAAUUUUAUGGUUUGUGAAUUAUGUAUCAAUUUUAAAAAAAAAUGACCUGGUUUGGCUUUUAUAUUCCUCAUUACCCCCACAACUGGCCACAUCCCCCUCCUCUCAGCUUUACCAUUCUGCAUUUUUCUUCUUUUGAGCUUACAUUAUCACCUCUAAUGUUUCCACAUGCUAUUUAUUCUCUGCAGGAAGCACUCUCUCCCCACCUCUCUCCCUUACCCUCCUCUUCAUUAUUUGGCUAACUCCAUGCCCUUUAGCUCUCAGCUUGAGAAACCUCCCCAGAAAGCCUUCCCUUAUCCCCCUGAAGGGAUUAGGUGCUCCUGCUAUGUACCCUGAGGCAUUUCAUACUUGGCUCUUCUAUAGUAUUUAUUACAUAUUUGCUCAUUCUAUGGAGAGCUACUGAAUAGCUGCUCUGGGAUGGGCAGUGGGCCAGGUGCUAGGUUUUGGUGGCAAGUAAGAGCCGUCCUCAUGGAGCUUACAGUCUAACAAGGGAGGAAGAUGGACAUUAAACAAUUAUACUAAAUGUUUUAAUUAUAGUUAAGAUGUUUCAGAACACUCUUGAGAGGGUAUGACAAGAAAUGUGACACUAUUUGAGGGAUCAAGGAACACUCUCUAGGAAAGUGACAUUUGAUUAAGCAACUUUAAUAGGAGUUGGCCAAAGGAAGAGUGGAAGGUGGAGUGCUCCAUGCAGAGGAAGAGCAUGUGAGAAUGCUCUGACAUGAAAGAGCUUAGGGGAAUUUCAGAAAUGGAAAGGCCAAUAUAGGAGACCAAAAAGAGCCUAGAAAGCCAAAUCAUGCCAGUCCAUGUGGAACAUGGUAAGAGUUUCUAUUUAAGAGAAGUACGAAGCCUUAUAAGGGAAGUUUAAAAUUCCCCUUGACUACUGUGUAAAAGUGGAAACAGGGUAACAAGACGCUCCCCAGUGUCUCAAUCUCCCACCAAUCUGUAAGCUCUGUGAGGGCAGAAAUUGUGUCUUACUAAGUUCAGCACCAUGCCUAACAAAUCAGAGAGUUAUUUUAAUGAAUAAAUGAAUGAUUAGGGCCAACAUUCCAGCUUAGGUUUUCAAGAAAGACCAUGCUCAUUUCUCAAAAUCCCAUUUCCCCUAUACAUAACCCUGCAAAGACCAACUCUUUAUCCCAACUCUAGGCUGGGUUAGCAUGUACCUCCUUUUGUUUCCAGUGUAUCUGUGAUAGAUUGUAUUUUCCCAAACUGGCCAAAAUAUCUCACAGCCCAUCUUCCAGUGUAAUGUUGAUACUCCCUACUGAGAAGUGAAGUCUUAUUCCCUCUCCUUGAAUCUGAAGUUAGGUCAUAUAAUUCAUCUUCCUCCUGAUUCUCUUAGGUAGCUCACUCUUAGAACCAUGCAGUGAGGAAACCCAGACUUCCCUGUAGAGACCCACAUGGAAACAGAUAGGUUGGCUAUCUUGAAAGUGCAUCUUCUAGUUCCUAGUGAUAUACCCCAGUUUACAAUUUUUGGAGUAGAAAAGCUGACCCUACCAAACCCUGCCUAGUUUCAUUAGUAAAAUAAGUAAUGGUGGUUGUAACCUUAAGCCACACAGUUUGGGGACAGUUGCCUAAACAGCAAUAGGUAACUGAAACAGCAUCCUACAUUCAACACACAGUGAUGUGAUACAACUCAGUGGUUAGGUAAAUGGGCUACAACUGCCUUUGUUCAAAGCCUACUUCUAUUACUUUGUUGCAUGACUAUUGGCGAGUUGCUCAACAUUUCUGUGCUUUCAUAUUCUUUUGUCAAUAUAGUACUUAAGUUUGUUGAGAGAAGUGAUUUAGUACAGGUAAAUGUAUUAAUGAAUAUGUAUAUGAAUACAUAUAUAUGUGUAUGUAUAAAUGUAUGUAUGUAUAAUUUUUAAUACUAAAAUGAUCUUAUCUGCUUUAUUGUUCAUCUCACCAGAGUAUAAGCCCCAAUAAAGUAGGAACCUUGUUUGUCUGA